rnacentral:lncRNA from 1 species
CAAACUAUUUUCUUUGUGUGUGUAUAUGUGUGUGUGUGUUUAAAUCUGAAUUUUAGUUAAUAAACAAAUGUGAUUUCAUAGGCAGUAGGGGUUCCUUGAGAGAGAAGUGUAACGUUCUACAGAUGAGGAUGGUUGGCUGCAGAGUGUAGGAGAAAUACACAAUGAAUAUCAUGUACCUCUUUUCCCACUGGGAAAACAUUAUAUUUUACUAAGUCCCUGUUGUUUCAUCUCUUAUCAAACAGGCAAAUUCCCCAACGGAAUAAAAGCAUUAAACAAAAUGCUGUACACACUUCCAGGGUGGUGGCAUUGAAGGGUGGAUCUCCUUUUUUCUUCACCUCUUCUUAGUCUCCCAAAUAAGAAUAAAUGUUAGAUCUCCUUGCAGGAAGAGACAGCUAUGCCAACCACACAGGACAUGUUCUGACUGUCAACUGUGAUGGAUGAGAUUCUGUGCAUUUAAUAAAUAUAAAUGUCAUAAUCCAACCAUCAAAUUUAAUAAACAAAAAUACCACAAACCAUCUUUCCUCUCUGCUCCAUGUGCUCCUUUAAAGCUGAUAACAUUAGAACACAUCUUGCCCAAGCUAUAACCUCACCAUCUGCCUGGCUCAACUUCUGAAGACUUGGUAUGGGCUAGAAAGAAAAGCAAAUGACUUCACACUGAGGAAGGAAAAAAAAAAAAAAAAGCAGAGAGGGAGGGCGGGGGGAACUGGUUGGCUUUUCUCACUCCUCCUUUUCCUUGUGACCCAUUUGUUAACUCUAGAACCAGAUGUAACUAUAUGAGCAUUAGUUCCUCCCUCAAGAAUUAUUAGGAAGGCAGGUCAUGGGGAGCAUUUUUUUGCUGGAGUUACACAAACUAAAAAGCAUGUUUUACCAACAAGCUGAGUUGCUCAUUUCAAUGCUUUGAUUUGGAAAUGUGUGCAAUGAGAUGCAGAAAGUAACUUACUAAGGAUACACUGUCUUUUGAUGGUGAAUUAAUAAUAAUCAUAACCACAACAAUAAACACAUACCAAAAAAAUAGUUUCAUUCCCAGGGGAUACAGAAGGCAGACUCAAAGCU